rnacentral:rRNA from 1 species
UUGGAGGGCAAGUCUGGUGCCAGCAGCCGCGGUAAUUCCAGCUCCAGUAGCGUAUAUUAAAGUUGUUGCAGUUAAAAAGCUCGUAGUUGAAUUUCGGGAUCAGAGUGUCGGUCGUGCCUCGGUACGCACUGGUAUUAUUGGUUCCUACCUUCUGAAGAACCGCGAUGUCAUUAAUUUGGUGUCGUGGGGAAUCAGGACUGUUACUUUGAAAAAAUUAGGGUGUUUAAAGCAGGCUUACGCUUGAAUACAUUAGCAUGGAAUAAUGAAAUAGGACGUUUGAUUCUACUUUGUUGGUUUCUAGGAUUGACGUAAUGAUUAAUAGGGAUAGUUGGGGGCAUUAGUAUUCAAUUGUCAGAGGUGAAAUUCUUGGAUUUAUUGAAGGCUAACUACUGCGAAAGCAUUUGCCAAGGAUGUUUUCAUUAAUCAAGAACGAAAGUUAGGGGAUCGAAGACGAUCAGAUACCGUCGUAGUCUUAACCAUAAACUAUGCCGACUAGGGAUCGGAUGAUGUUAAUUUUUUAAUGACUCAUUCGGCGCCUUACGGGAAACCAAAGUGUUUGGGUUC